GAGUUUGAUCCUGGCUCAGAAUCAACGCUGGCGGCGUGCCUAACACAUGCAAGUCGAACGAGAAAGGGUAGCAAUACCUGAGUAAAGUGGCGCACGGGUGAGUAACACGUGACUAACCUACCCUGGAGUGGGGGAUAACUGAGGGAAACCUUAGCUAAUACCGCAUAACACCUACGGGUCAAAGGAGCAAUUCGCUUCAGGAGGGGGUCGCGGCCGAUUAGUUAGUUGGCGGGGUAAUGGCCCACCAAGACGAUGAUCGGUAUCCGGCCUGAGAGGGCGCACGGACACACUGGAACUGAAACACGGUCCAGACUCCUACGGGAGGCAGCAGUGGGGAAUUUUGCGCAAUGGGGGAAACCCUGACGCAGCAACGCCGCGUGGAGGAUGAAGUCCUUCGGGACGUAAACUCCUUUCGAUCGGGACGAUUAUGACGGUACCGGAAGAAGAAGCCCCGGCUAACUUCGUGCCAGCAGCCGCGGUAAUACG
rnacentral:rRNA from 1 species